rnacentral:rRNA from 1 species
CGCCGGACCUGACUGCUAUCGGAUUGAUACUAAGCCAUGCGAGUCUUUGUAGUAAUACAAGGCAUACGGCUCAGUAACGCGUAGUCAACCUAACCUAUGGACAAGAAUAAUCUCGGGAAACUGAGCAUAAUUCUUGAUAGAUCAUAAUGCCUGGAAUGGUAUAUGGUUAAAAUGAUUCGUCGCCAUAGGAUGGGACUGCGGCCUAUCAGCUUGUUGGUGAGGUAAUGGCCCACCAAGGCGAUUACAGGUACGGGCUCUGAGAGGAGAAGCCCGGAGAUGGGUACUGAGACAAGGACCCAGGCCCUAUGGGGCGCAGCAGGCGAGAAAACUUUGCAAUGUGCGAAAGCACGACAAGGUUAGUCCGAGUGAUUUCUGCUAAAGAGAUCUUUUGCUAGUUAUAAAACCACUAGUGAAUAAGGGGUGGGCAAGUUCUGGUGUCAGCCGCCGCGGUAAAACCAGCACCUCAAGUGGUCAGGAUGAUUAUUGGGCCUAAAGCAUCCGUAGCCGGCUCUGUAAGUUUUCGGUUAAAUCUAUGCGCUCAACGUAUGGGCUGCCGAAAAUACUGUAGAGAUAGGGAGUGGGAGAGGUAGACGGUACUCGGUAGGAAGGGGUAAAAUCCUUUGAUCUAUCGAUGACCACCUGUGGCGAAGGCGGUCUACCAGAACACGUUCGACGGUGAGGGAUGAAAGCUGGGGGAGCAAACCGGAUUAGAUACCCGGGUAGUCCCAGCUGUAAACGAUGCAGACUCGAUGAUGCAUUGGCAUAUAGCCAGUGCAGUGUCGCAGGGAAGCCGUUAAGUCUGCCGCCUGGGAAGUACGUACGCAAGUAUGAAACUUAAAGGAAUUGGCGGGGGAGCACCACAAGGGGUGAAGCCUGCGGUUCAAUUGGAUUCAACGCCGGAA